rnacentral:rRNA from 1 species
UACGUAGGGGGGCAAGCGUUGUCCGGAAUUAUUGGGCGUAAAGAGCGUGUAGGCGGUCCGGUAAGUCAGCUGUGAAAGUCAAGGGCUCAACCCUUGAAAGCCGGUUGAUACUGUCGGGCUAGAGUCCGGAAGAGGCGAGUGGAAUUCCCGGUGUAGCGGUGAAAUGCGCAGAUAUCGGGAGGAACACCAAUGGCGAAAGCGGCUCUCUGGAACGGUACUGACGCUGAGACGGCGAAAGCGUGGGGAGCGAACAGG